GGACGAACGCUGGCGGCGUGCUUAACCCAUGCAAGUCGAACGGAAAGGCCCUGCUUUUGUGGGGUGCUCGAGUGGCGAACGGGUGAGUAACACGUGAGUAACCUGCCCUUGACUUUGGGAUAACUUCAGGAAACUGGGGCUAAUACCAGAUAGGAGCUCCUGCUGCAUGGUGGGGGUUGGAAAGUUUCGGCGGUUGGGGAUGGACUCGCGGCUUAUCAGCUUGUUGGUGGGGUAGUGGCUUACCAAGGCUUUGACGGGUAGCCGGCCUGAGAGGGUGACCGGCCACAUUGGGACUGAGAUACGGCCCAGACUCCUACGGGAGGCAGCAGUGGGGAAUAUUGCACAAUGGGCGGAAGCCUGAUGCAGCAACGCCGCGUGCGGGAUGACGGCCUUCGGGUUGUAAACCGCUUUCGCCUGUGACGAAGCGUGAGUGACGGUAAUGGGUAAAGAAGCACCGGCUAACUACGUG
rnacentral:rRNA from 1 species